GGAGCUGGAGCUCAGAAGUUAAGAGCACUGACUGUUCUUCCAGAGGUCCUGAGUUCAAUUCUCAGCAACCACA
rnacentral:tRNA from 1 species